CAGAAAGUUACAAAGUUUGACAGGUGGAGCUUCAAAAUUGUUUCAUAAAUACAUAACUUCUUUCUCCUUAGAAGUUAGCAGAGGGUGACACGGACAUCAGCAAGCAAGACAAUGAUACCUGCAUUUCUGAAGACUGCUGUGGAAGAAGUAUCCAGUGAGCUCACUGGUUAUAUUUAAGACAGCUGUUUUAAGGUCUUUUUAAAAUAACUCUGAGGCCCGUGUAUCUUUAGGGCUCAAGCCAAAGAAAUCCACCAAAGAUUUCUGCUUCCUCUAUACCCAGAUGCUUUAAGUAAUCUCAACUGCACUGAAGGUUAUCAAGACCAGAAAAGCAAGAAAAGAGUAGUCACUUUUAAUUUAAAUCUGGAAGGUGAAGUGAAGAACCCUCCUAUCAAUCAAUUAAGUGAUGUUGACAUUGAUUUUGUAAAAGCUGAGAUUUUCAUUUCAACAAUAGAUUCAGUAGAAAUACCCCACAAUAUAUGUGUUUUAUAUCUGA